GCAGCAGUGGGGAAUAUUGCACAAUGGGGGAAACCAUGAUGCAGCCAUGCCGCGUGUGUGAAGAAGGCUUCGGGUUGUAAAGCACUUUCAGUAGGGAGGAAAGGUUAGUAGCUAAUAUCUGCUAGCUGUGACGUUACCUACAGAAGAAGCACCGGCUAACUCCGUGCCAGCAGCCGCGGUAAUACGGAGGGUGCGAGCGUUAAUCGGAAUUACUGGGCGUAAAGCGUGCGUAGGCGGAUUGUUAAGUCAGAUGUGAAAUCCCGGGGCUCAACCUCGGAACUGCAUUUGAAACUGGCAGUCUAGAGUAUUGUAGAGGGUGGUGGAAUUUCCAGUGUAGCGGUGAAAUGCGUAGAGAUUGGAAGGAACAUCAGUGGCGAAGGCGGCCACCUGGACAAAUACUGACGCUGAGGCACGAAAGCGUGGGGAGCGAACAGGAUUAGAUACCCUGGUAGUCCACGCCGUAAACGAUGUCAACUAGCUGUCUGUGUUCUUGAAACGUGGGUAGCGUAGCUAACGCGCUAAGUUGACCGCCUGGGGAGUACGGCCGCAAGGUUAAAACUCAAAUGAAUUGACGGGGGCCCGCACAAGCGGUGGAGCAUGUGGUUUAAUUCGAUGCAACGCGAAGAACCUUACCAUCCCUUGACAUCCAGAGAAUUUCUAGAGAUAGAAUU
rnacentral:rRNA from 1 species